GUGAUGUGUGUCGAUCGAAGCGAG
rnacentral:siRNA from 1 species